rnacentral:rRNA from 1 species
ACGAACGCUGGCGGCGUGCCUAAUACAUGCAAGUAGAACGCACAGUUUAUACCGUAGCUUGCUACACCAUAGACUGUGAGUUGCGAACGGGUGAGUAACGCGUAGGUAACCUGCCUGGUAGCGGGGGAUAACUAUUGGAAACGAUAGCUAAUACCGCAUAAUAUUAAUUAUUGCAUGAUAAUUAAUUGAAAGGUGCAAUUGCACCACUACCAGAUGGACCUGCGUUGUAUUAGCUAGUAGGUGAGGUAACGGCUCACCUAGGCGACGAUACAUAGCCGACCUGAGAGGGUGAUCGGCCACACUGGGACUGAGACACGGCCCAGACUCCUACGGGAGGCAGCAGUAGGGAAUCUUCGGCAAUGGACGAAAGUCUGACCGAGCAACGCCGCGUGAGUGAAGAAGGUUUUCGGAUCGUAAAGCUCGGUUGUAAGAGAAGAACGGGUGUGAGAGUGGAAAGUUCACACUGUGACGGUAUCUUACCAGAAAGGGACGGCUAACUACGUG